rnacentral:lncRNA from 1 species
GUGAUGCUGCAUUUUCUUCAAAAGAAAUGAAGACUAUUUAUACUAUAAUGAGAUAAGAAAAUGGGGACAUUUCUGACAACUGAUGAGCUGUCAUGUCACCAAAUGUAUAUUUACUGUUUAAGUAUUUCUUUUAUAUUUUUAUUCUUAACAUUUACAUUCUGUCAGUUAAAGCUUCAGAUCCUGGCAGCAAAACGCAAUAGAGAUCAGCUGCAUCUGGCCCAUCUAAGGAUAAAAAACAAGUGUGCAAAGACAUAGGUCCUCCUGGUUGUGCUACGUGGGACACCACCUCAGCAUGGCCUGAUGAGCGGUGCCAUGUCCACGCCCAGGAUCCGAACCAGGGAAACCCUGGGGUGCUGAGGUGGAGCACAUGAACUUAACCACUUGUCCAGGGGGCUGGCCCCAAAUAUUUAUUUUUUAUCUCAAUCUUCCUAAUUUUUAUUUUUAAU